GUUUAUACAGAUUGCUUUGAGUUUUAAACGCAAUGCCACACGUUGUACAUGGAAAAGGCCUCUCACCUGUAUGUGAUCGCAUAUGUUUCUCAAGGACACUUGGCUUCAGACAGUCACGCCCACAAUGUUUACACAGGUUGCUUCUGGAUGAUUGCCUGAAGUUGAUCUGUCCCUUUCGAAUGCAAAAGUGGAUUGAGGAUUAAAGACUCAAGCUACGGUAAUGUGUUUCCAAAGAGAAAACAUUGAACUCAGUAACAAUACAGAUGGUGUGAAGCAGCCGAUGACAGUACGCUAGUGUUUUUCAUAACAAGCUGAUUUUAUCUUCCUUUGUGGUAUCUGGUGUUUUGCAUAUUUCAGUGUCUGAGCCUCUGACUCUGUAAGUUCUGAAAAUUCUUCUAUGGGACAGUCAUUUUCUUUGCA